rnacentral:rRNA from 1 species
CAGGGAUUGCCCUAGUAACGGCGAGUGAAGCGGCAACAGCUCAAAUUUGAAAUCUGGCGUCUUUGGCGUCCGAGUUGUAAUUUGCAGAGGGCGCUUUGGCAUUGGCAGCGGUCCAAGUUCCUUGGAACAGGACGUCACAGAGGGUGAGAAUCCCGUACGUGGUCGCUAGCCUUUACCGUGUAAAGCCCCUUCGACGAGUCGAGUUGUUUGGGAAUGCAGCUCUAAAUGGGAGGUAAAUUUCUUCUAAAGCUAAAUACUGGCCAGAGACCGAUAGCGCACAAGUAGAGUGAUCGAAAGAUGAAAAGCACUUUGGAAAGAGAGUUAAAAAGCACGUGAAAUUGUUGAAAGGGAAGCGCUUGCAGCCAGACUUGCCUGUAGUUGCUCAUCCGGGUUUCUACCCGGUGCACUCUUCUAUAGGCAGGCCAGCAUCAGUUUGGGCGGUUGGAUAAAGGUCUCUGUCAUGUACCUCCUUUCGGGGAGAACUUAUAGGGGAGACGACAUGCAACCAGCCUGGACUGAGGUCCGCGCAUCUGCUAGGAUGCUGGCGUAAUGGCUGUAAGCGGCCCGUCUUGAAACACGGACCAAGGAGUCUAACAUCUAUGCGAGUGUUUGGGUGUCAAGCCCGAGCGCGUAAUGAAAGUGAACGGAGGUGGGAACCUUUCGGGGUGCACCAUCGACCGAUCCUGAUGUCUUCGGAUGGAUUUGAGUAAGAGCAUAGCUGUUGGGACCCGAAAGAUGGUGAACUAUGCUUGAAUAGGGUGAAGCCAGAGGAAACUCUGGUGGAGGCUCGCAGCGGUUCUGACGUGCAAAUCGAUCGUCAAAUUUGGGCAUAGGGGCGAAAGACUAAUCG